UACGUAGGGUGCGAGCGUUGUCCGGAAUUAUUGGGCGUAAAGGGCUCGUAGGCGGUUUGUUGCGUCGGGAGUGAAAACCCAGGGCUUAACCCUGGGCUGGCUUUCGAUACGGGCAGACUAGAGGUAUGCAGGGGAGAGCGGAAUUCCUGGUGUAGCGGUGAAAUGCGCAGAUAUCGUAAGGAAGACCAGUGGCGAAGGCGGGUCUCUGGACAGUUCCUGACGCUGAGGCACGAAGGUCAGGGGAGCAAACGGG
rnacentral:rRNA from 1 species